GAAACUGCUUGGAUGUGGCCUGGUGGGAUUUCAUGUGCUCUGAUUUCACGUUGCUCAGAGCGCUAAUUGCAGCACAUGGCUAAGGGCGAGUGUACCUCCAGGCCAGAUGGAAUUGAACUGGAAGUGAACAUUGCUGGUCUCGGAAAUGGGCUUAUGCUGGGGCCAGAACUGACUGGGAAUACUUCCCUGGAACUUCUGCUGCCUCAGCAAAAUAUCUACCAAGAAAUUAUGGAAUCGAGGCCAAAUGGAGCAGGAUUCAUCCAGGAGAUGAAAGCUCAGAGUUGAACCAAACCUGUUUCGGAGCAGUUUUAGACUGAAACGUUUCUGUGUUUCCCACUCUGACAUCCUGAAAUUCCUCGUGGAAGGAAUCUUUGCCCUCUGCAUGGCCUCCUAUAGUCCAGACAGAUGGAUGCAUGAGAUGGAGAAGGAAGGAGGAGAAUGAGGAGGCAGUGUGGAGCAGAACGGCAAUCCUGGGAAAGGAUCCUGGUCCAGUUGCUAUGGAUGGUAGGAUGUGGUCCUACAACCUCCCCCACAGGAUGUGUGGGUCCGGGACUGGCCCAAGCACGUGUCCCACUCCUGAUGCAGCCCGGGGUGUACAGAGGUUGUUUUUCACCGAAUGGAGGUUUUUCCCUGAGGUUUGUGCAAGAUGCUCUCAGAGAGAGCUAUAAAUACCGCAGUGCUUCCUGUGCGGCUCUGCGAGGAGGAAGCUGCUUCCCCAGCAGGGGAAGGAGGCAGCGGGCGUCCCGGUGGAACAGGGCCACGGGAUGUAGAUUCCAAUCUGCAGGUAGUGAAUG
rnacentral:lncRNA from 1 species